CCUGUCCCUUGAGGCAUUGCAGGUGUGGCAGCUGUGUCACACGUGUGUCGGUAGGUGGCAGAGAGGAGAGAGGCUUUGUCUAGGCUCAGGGUUUUGACCUGUGAACAUCUGAGUGAUAAGUAGCCUAACACU